UACAGAGGGUGCGAGCGUUAAUCGGAUUUACUGGGCGUAAAGCGUGCGCAGGCGGUUUUGCAAGACAGAGGUGAAAUCCCCGGGCUCAACCUGGGAACUGCCUUUGUGACUGCAAGGCUAGAGUACGGCAGAGGGAGAUGGAAUUCCGCGUGUAGCAGUGAAAUGCGUAGAUAUGCGGAGGAACACCGAUGGCGGAGGCAAUCUCCUGGGCCUGUACUGACGCUCAUGCACGAAAGCGUGGGGAGCAAACAGG
rnacentral:misc_RNA from 1 species